rnacentral:lncRNA from 1 species
CUGGAGGGUCUUCUAAAGAGAAAUUAAAAGAACUAAAUAUGUAGGUCUUGGCCAAAUGAUGUCAUGAUAUCAGUUACAAGUAUUUGAGGACUGUAAUCAUCAAGAAAAGGAAAAGAUUAUCAGAGGUAGCAAAGGAUGGGAAGAGUUAAGGGAUGAGGCUCAGUAAAGGGGCAAAUGCUUGGAGGACAGGUGCAAGCUUUGUGGUGUGAGGGCUCUGAUCAAUUAUGAAAUAAUCUGACAGGUUUAGGGAGAUGCAGCUGCUUACAGCAAGCAAUUAUAUGGUGGUGAAAAGGGAUAGAGGAGAGCAAGACAGGCUUGGCCAGUGAUGAAGGUGGAGUGACCUGCAAGGCCUCUUUUUCAUAUAAAGCAAAGUCUCUUGCAAUGAAUCCACGGCAGCUUCGAUUGAGCGGUGAGCUGGAGCACCUACCCACAGGCCACUUCUCGAUGUGACUGCAAAGAGGCCCUUGCCAGCACUGGGAGAGCAAAGCUGUGGAUUUACCCCUCAUGCAACCGCAUCCCCCCGGCACCGUGAGAUUCCAGUGACAGAUGGAUCUCUCUCAUGUGCACUUGCUCUUUCCCUCUCUGUAUUUUUGUUUUCAACAUGUUUGAUCUGAAGCUCUGAAGCUUCUCAGAGGGAACCCGGGAGAAAAGGAAAAGAAGGAGGAGGAACUGAAGGGAGCGUGAGCGACAGAGGAGGCAGCCUUGCCUUAU